rnacentral:rRNA from 1 species
GAUGAACGCUGGCGGCGUGCCUAAUACAUGCAAGUCGAGCGAACGGACGAGAAGCUUGCUUUUCUGAUGUUAGCGGCGGACGGGUGAGUAACACGUGGAUAACCUACCUAUAAGACUGGGAUAACUUCGUGAAACCGGAGCUAAUACCGGAUAAUAUUUUGAACCGCAUGGUUCAAAAGUGAAAGCCGGUCUUGCUGUCACUUAUAGAUGGAUCCGCGCUGCAUUAGCUAGUUGGUAAGGUAACGGCUUACCAAGUCAACGAUGCAUAGCCGACCUGAGAGGGUGAUCGGCCACACUGGAACUGAGACACGGUCCAGACUCCUACGGGAGGCAGCAGUAGGGAAUCUUCCGCAAUGGGCGAAAGCCUGACGGAGCAACGCCGCGUGAGUGAUGAAGGUCUUCGGAUCGUAAAACUCUGUUAUUAGGGAAGAACAUAUGUGUAAGUAACUGUGCACAUCUUGACGGUACCUAAUCAGAAAGCCACGGCUAACUACGUG